UACGAAGGGGGCUAGCGUUGUUCGGAAUUACUGGGCGUAAAGCGCGUGUAGGCGGCUUUGCAAGUCGGGUGUGAAAGCCCUCAGCUCAACUGAGGAAGUGCGCCCGAAACUGCAGAGCUUGAGUACCGGAGAGGAUGGCGGAAUUCCCCAAGUAGAGGUGAAAUUCGUAGAUAUGGGGAGGAACACCGGUGGCGAAGGCGGCCAUCUGGACGGAUACUGACGCUGAGACGCGAAAGCGUGGGGAGCAAACAGG
rnacentral:rRNA from 1 species